GCCUCGUUGCUGUAGUGGUAGUAGCACGCGUCCCCAGUAUGAAUGAACCGCGAGUUCAAUUCCCGCCUGAGGCC